rnacentral:rRNA from 1 species
UGAGGAAUAUUGCUCAAUGGGCGAAAGUCUGAAGCAGCAACGCCGCGUGAGGGAUGAAGGUGCUCUGCAUUGUAAACCUCUGUAGUCGGGGAAAAAACAAUGGGUUACUACCCAUUUGAUGGUACCCGAAAAGUAAGGAUCGGCUAACUACGUGCCAGCAGCCGCGGUAAUACGUAGGAUCCAAGCGUUGUCCGGAUUUACUGGGUGUAAAGGGUGCGCAGGCGGACUUGUUAGUCAGAGGUGAAAUCUCACGGCUCAACCGUGAAACUGCCUUUGAUACUGCAGGUCUUGAAUUGGGAGAGAGUGUGGAAUUCCGAGUGUAGCAGUGAAAUGUGUAGAUAUUUCGGAAGAACACCAGUGGCGAAGGCAGCAACUUGGCCCUAUAUUGACGCUCAGGCACGAAAGCAUGGGAGUCAAAACA